UACGGAGGGAGCUAGCGUUGUUCGGAAUUACUGGGCGUAAAGCGCACGUAGUCGGCUUUGUAAGUUAGAGGUGAAAGCCCGGGGCUCAACUCCGGAACUGCCUUUAAGACUGCAUCGCUUGAAUCCAGGAGAGGUGAGUGGAAUUCCGAGUGUAGAGGUGAAAUUCGUAGAUAUUCGGAAGAACACCAGUGGCGAAGGCGGCUCACUGGACUGGUAUUGACGCUGAGGUGCGAAAGCGUGGGGAGCAAACAGG
rnacentral:rRNA from 1 species